rnacentral:tRNA from 1 species
GCACUAGGGCGCCGGACUUCUAAUCCGACGGUCGCAGGUUCGAAUCCUGCCGGGUGCG